ensembl:lncRNA
CUGUUGGCAAGAGGAAGUUUCCUUGGCUCUGUUGGCAUAUAAUAUUCAAUUUUAUAAUUUUGAUAAUAUCCCUACAUUGUGACAUAAUUGCAUUAGAACUCCAAUAUUAUUCAAUCACUUCAUAAUUUGUUCUCAGUCUACUUUUUAAAUUGGGAGCCUUUUUUUCUGCAUGUACUUCCAAGUAAAUUGCUUUUUUAAAUUGUUUUACUAUAUCCAAAAAAAAGUGUUUACAGCUUUUGUAAAUUGGUUGACCAAAACUGAAAGUAAAAAACUAGUGCAAGUGUGCGAGAAGGGAAAAGUUGGUUUGUUAGAAAAUUGUUGUUGCAGUAACAGUCCUGUGACGUCCCUGGCAUUUAUCAGCCCUAUUUACGGAGUUGCAUUCUAGACACUCAUUUAUAUAGGUAUGUUUCACCCACUAACACUGUUGCCAGGCUAGAGCAUCCUAGUUUCUUUGCAAAAAUUAACAAACCAUCUGAUUGGUCCCAGAAACCAGUGGGUGGGGCCAGAGCAUGGUUAAAGGGAUAGUUUGUCCAAAAUUCAAAUUUUUCUGAAAUUUCACUUACCAGGCCAAUUUAAGUCAUUUUUUCAAACAAUCCAUUAUUCAGCUCUGUCCCAGGCUGUAAUUAGCAUCGUCCAAAUUCAUGAUUGGAAAUGGUUCGUACCUUUACCGCAAAGCUGCAUUGCAAGCAGAAAAACACUUGAAACUACAUUCAGUAAUCUGUCGCAGUAGCAUACAUUUUUUUAAACUGUACACUGACAAAACAGCCGGCGGAACUGGCUGAUUUCAAACUGGCACUAGCAACUAUUUCCCAUAGCCACCAUACACAGCUUCUGUUCUUCGGCAGUGAUAUCAGAGUUGAGCGUGAUCUUAACCCAACUAGCUAUGUGAAGAUAUGCUUCGCCUAGCUUUUUAAAAUUGCUGAUAGUUUCCACUAUAUUUUUGCUGUAUAUAUUUCGUAAUUCUUACUAUGUAGAUGUUGUGUGCCAUGUCUCAAAAAUGUCACUGUGCCAUGUCUCAAAAAUGUCACUGUGCAGGACAACGCUGUGUUAUUCAGUGCGUUUGCUACAUAAAAGUAGAACUUUUGGUUCACUUAGAAGAGGACUAAAGGCGAAUGCAAUUCCAUCAAGUUACCCUGUUCAACCCGUGGAGACAAGAAAGAUUGUAAGUAAUACUUCUGAUUGCCAUGUUAUAAUACACAAAUAUAUAUUGCCUCUGGAUAUUCUGUGCAAGUGUUGGGGAUUACAUGUUCACCAUCGCCAAGGUGAUUGUCCGAGGUGAAUUUCAAAGACAAAAUAGGUAACUUGCUUUCUAGCCAGUGAAUACAAAAUUGUGUUCACUGUGUAUACAUCUAACUCUUUCCGAACGAAUGCGUGGACUGAUACAAUUGUGAACUAAACUGACCGGAAGAACCCGUUUAUUUGAAAUAUCUUUAUUUAGAAAAUUAAAACUUUCUUUAGAGGAAUACAACAUCGUCAUGUCCUUUGAGUUAAAUUACAUCACUUGUUUUUGUUUUGGGGUGUUUUAGAGUUGUUUUCCGUUUGCAAUGCAGCUUUGCAAUAAAGGUACGUACAGUUUUUUAAAUAUUUUUUAUUACUCUAUAUGCCUGAAGGACCAACUGGGAGGAAGGGGACUGUCACCGAAAUAGGAUUUUUGGAUGAACUAUCCCUUUAAAGCAACCUUUUUCAAAAUGUGAAACUCCUCAUUUUGAAAACACUAACGUAGCAGAAAAUUUCAGUUAGAUCCAUCAUUUGACAAACCUUGUCCCAUGUUGUACCAUUAUUAGCCAUUAACCUUGAGCAACCCGCUG